AACACUAACUGGAGGACCGAACCGACUAAUGUUGAAAAAUUAGCGGAUGACUUGUGGCUGGGGGUGAAAGGCCAAUCAAACCGGGAGAUAGCUGGUUCUCCCCGAAAGCUAUUUAGGUAGCGCCUCGUGAAGUCAUCUUCGGGGGUAGAGCACUGUUUCGACUAGGGGGCCAUCCCGGCUUACCAACUCGAUGCAAACUGCGAAUACCGAAGAAUGUUAUCACGGGAGACACACGGCGGGUGCUAACGUCCGUCGUGAAGAGGGAAACAACCCAGACCGCCAGCUAAGGUCCCAAAGUCAUGGUUAAGUGGGAAACGAUGUGGGAAGGCCCAGACAGCCAGGAUGUUGGCUUAGAAGCAGCCAUCAUUUAAAGAAAGCGUAAUAGCUCACUGGUCGAGUCGGCCUGCGCGGAAGAUGUAACGGGGCUAAACCAUGCACCGAAGCUGCGGCAGCGACGCUUAGGCGUUGUUGGGUAGGGGAGCGUUCUGUAAGCCUGCGAAGGUGGCCUGUGAGGGCUGCUGGAGGUAUCAGAAGUGCGAAUGCUGACAUAAGUAACGAUAAUGCGGGUGAAAAACCCGCACGCCGGAAGACCAAGGGUUCCUGUCCAACGUUAAUCGGGGCAGGGUGAGUCGACCCCUAAGGCGAGGCCGAAAGGCGUAGUCGAUGGGAAACAGGUUAAUAUUCCUGUACUUGGUGUUACUGCGAAGGGGGGACGGAGAAGGCUGGGUUAUCCGGGCGACGGUUGUCCCGGUUUAAGCGUGUAGGUGGGUGUUUUUGGUAAAUCCGGAACACCGUUAACACUGAGGCGUGACGACGAGUCACUACGGUGAUGAAGUAACCGAUGCCAAGCUUCCAGGAAAAGCCUCUAAGCUCCAGGUAACACGAAAUCGUACCCCAAACCGACACAGGUGGUCAGGUAGAGAAUACCCAGGCGCUUGAGAGAACUCGGGUGAAGGAACUAGGCAAAAUGGUGCCGUAACUUCGGGAGAAGGCACGCUGGCGUUGGUGAAGGGACUGGCUCCCGGAGCUGAUACCAGUCGCAGAUACCAGCUGGCUGCAACUGUUUAAUAAAAACACAGCACUGUGCAAA
rnacentral:rRNA from 1 species